GACGGGGUGGCGGAAUCUGGGAACGCAGGAGACUGCAGAUCUCCAUUAUGUAGGUUCAAAUCCUACCCCCGUCU
rnacentral:tRNA from 1 species